rnacentral:rRNA from 1 species
UUUAUUGGAGAGUUUGAUCCUGGCUCAGGAUGAACGCUGGCGGCGUGCCUAAUACAUGCAAGUCGAGCGAACGGAUUAAGAGCUUGCUCUUAAGAAGUUAGCGGCGGACGGGUGAGUAACACGUGGGUAACCUGCCCAUAAGACUGGGAUAACUCCGGGAAACCGGGGCUAAUACCGGAUAACAUCUAGCACCGCAUGGUGCAAGAUUGAAAGGUGGCUUCGGCUGUCACUUAUGGAUGGAUCCGCGUCGCAUUAGCUAGUUGGUGAGGUAACGGCUCACCAAGGCGACGAUGCGUAGCCGACCUGAGAGGGUGAUCGGCCACACUGGGACUGAGACACGGCCCAGACUCCUACGGGAGGCAGCAGUAGGGAAUCUUCCGCAAUGGACGAAAGUCUGACGGAGCAACGCCGCGUGAGCGAUGAAGGCCUUCGGGUCGUAAAGCUCUGUUGUUAGGGAAGAACAAGUAUGAGUUGAAUAAGCUCAUGCCUUGACGGUACCUAACCAGAAAGCCACGGCUAACUACGUGCCAGCAGCCGCGGUAAUACGUAGGUGGCAAGCGUUAUCCGGAAUUAUUGGGCGUAAAGCGCGCGCAG